GAUUGGGCUAGCAGGAGAUAACAGAGAAGAAAAGACACUCUGAAAAAGGAAAAGAUGAGGGUUCUUCUUAUGGAAAAAUGUGUCUUUGGAAAAAUUACAAUACUACAGAAAGAAGCACACAGGCAGCAUCUGUCCUGUGGCUCCUUUGUCCUUCUUCCACCUCCUCAGCAGUUAGAGGCUCCAGAACUACAAUGGCAAUGACUCAGGAAACUGUUGUUGAAAAGUCCAUAUCAAGUUCUCUGAAUGUCACUGAAGACAGGGACAUUUCGGGGAGAACCUGGCUGCGAAUCCAUUCUUGUCAUGAGGGAAGACUUUUUCUCUUUCUGUAGUGAGCAACAAGGCCACUUGAUGAAGAAACUGAGGUUCAUGGAAGUUAAAUAACCUGCCCACAGAGCACAGCUAAUGGGCAACUAAGCUAGGGCUGCAACUGAGAUCUGUGAGAAUCAAAGCACAUGCUCUUCCUGCCCCUCAAUAGCUUUCCUGCUAACCGCCAAGAGACUCUGGGCUGCCAGGAACAUCACAGCAGGGACCACUGUCAAUCAUUGGAUCUCCAGUCUUUAAGACUUGCUUUUGAAGAGAGAUUUAGCUGCUAAAAGAAAAUAUUAAUAUGCAAAAAGGAUAAUACUACCAUACUUCAUCAUAUUGCUUCGUUUUAAUACAAGAAGACUCCUCCAGCUUAAACGUUUGAUGUUUAAGAAGCUAACCAGCAAGCUGCCCUCUGGGAAUGCAUACCGUCAGGGAUGGUCAGUGGCCCUAACAUCAUGUUCACAAGCCAGCGGCUUUGUACAAGCUGUCAGGACUCGGAACGUAGUACCCCAAAGUAUGGCAUCUUGGUGUGCUGAGUACUAUGGGCUGAAGGACAGUGGAAGGGUCUCAGAAGCAAGGUCUCUUUGACCUUCUUCCAUCCUCCUGUCUCCCACCUGUUUUUCUCCCCUGAAGUGAGUCAUGGCAACCAGAAUUCCUCUUUCCCAAGAUGUGUCACAGAAACUAGAACCCCUCUCCUCCAAGGGAAGCUGUGAAACCCAGAAAGGUCACUCUCUGCCUUUCCCCAUCUCCCUUGAAGACCCUCAUUCCAGAGGGGCCCGGCCCCAUACCCAGGAGGAAGGAAUGCUCUACAGAGAGGUUGAGAAGAAGCUGAACAGUCAGGCCUUGCUGGGCUCCCUGCUUAGUCUAUCACCAUUAGAUUACACCCUUCAGUCCAUCACAUGUCUACACUGCUGUCCAUUCUUCGUCAAAUCUAAGAAUAAAAAAGUUUUCCCUGGGU